rnacentral:rRNA from 1 species
GAUUAACAUUUAUGACAAUCGCACGGUUAUCGAGAUAUUCGUUGAUCUCGAGUGCCAGCGUGCUGAAAUCUGUCCAGAUGCUUAAAAAGCAUUUGGAAAAGGGCCGGGUAAGACCGGUGCCAGCCGCCGCGGUAACGCCGGCGGCCCGAGUGGUAACCGUAAAAAUUGGGGCUAGAGGGUCUGUAGCCGGCCAAGUAAGUCCUUUGGGAAAUCUGGUAGCUCAACUAUCAGGCUGCCGGGGGAUACUUCUUGCCUUGGGACCGGGAGAGGUGAGAGGUACUUCAGGGGUAGGGGUGAAAUCUUGUGAUCCUUGAGGGACCCCCAGUGGCGAAGGCGUCUCACCUGAACGGGCCCAACGGUAAGGGACGAAAGCUUUUUGGCACAAACCGGAUUAGAUACCCGGGUAGCCCUAGCACUAAAAGAUGCUCGCUAGGGGUCAGUCACGGGGCGACCGUGAUUGGUGCUGUUGGGAAGCCGGGAAACAAGCCACCUUUAAUUUUCCCAAAAUAAAACUUUAUGGAAUUGGCGGGGCAAGGCGAAUUCGUUUAAACCUGCCGGACUAGUCCCUUUAGGGAGGUUAUUUUAAACUUGGGAACCAUGGCAUAGCUGUUUCCGAGA